rnacentral:rRNA from 1 species
AAAAAAAAAAAUUUGCAUAUCCAAAUAGCGGAGCAAAAGAAACCAACAGGGAUUGCCCCAGUAGCGGCGAGUGAAGCGGCAAAAGCUCAGAUUUGGAAUCGCUUCGGCGAGUUGUGAAUUGCAGGUUGGCGCCUCUGCGGCGGCGGCGGUCCAAGUCCCUUGGAACAGGGCGCCAUUGAGGGUGAGAGCCCCGUGGGACCGUUUGCCUAUGCUCUGAGGCCCUUCUGACGAGUCGAGUUGUUUGGGAAUGCAGCUCUAAGCGGGUGGUAAAUUCCAUCUAAGGCUAAAUACUGGCGAGAGACCGAUAGCGAACAAGUACUGUGAAGGAAAGAUGAAAAGCACUUUGAAAAGAGAGUGAAACAGCACGUGAAAUUGUUGAAAGGGAAGGGUAUUGCGCCCGACAUGGAGCGUGCGCACCGCUGCCCCUCGUGGGCGGCGCUCUGGGCGUGCUCUGGGCCAGCAUCGGUUUUUGCCGCGGGAGAAGGGCGGCGGGCAUGUAGCUCUUCGGAGUGUUAUAGCCUGCCGCCGGCGCCGCGAGCGGGGACCGAGGACUGCGACUUUGUCUCGGAUGCGCGAUGAUCC